CGCACGGGUGAGUAACACGUAUCCAACCUGCCGUCUACUCUUGGCCAGCCUUCUGAAAGGAAGAUUAAUCCAGGAUGGCAUCAUGAGUUCACAUGUCCGCAUGAUUAAAGGUAUUUUCCGGUAGACGAUGGGGAUGCGUUCCAUUAGAUAGUAGGCGGGGUAACGGCCCACCUAGUCAACGAUGGAUAAGGGUUCUGAGAGGAAGGUCCCCCACAUUGGAACUGAGACACGGUCCAA
rnacentral:rRNA from 1 species